rnacentral:rRNA from 1 species
CCUACGGGUGGCAGCAGUGGGGAAUAUUGGACAAUGGGGGAAACCCUGAUGCAGCAACGCCGCGUGAGGGAUGACGGCCUUCGGGUUGUAAAGCUCUUUUUUCAGGGACGAAAAAGACGGGACGUGAGGAGGAAUCCGCGGCGAACUACGGGCCAGCAGCCGCGGUAAUACGGAGGUGGCGGGCGUUGUUCGGAGUUUCUGGGCGUAAAGGGAGCGUAGGCGGGGUUGUAAGUGAGAUGUGAAAUACUCGGGCGCAACUUCAGUGCUGCAUUUGAAACUGGAAGUCUAGAGUGCAGGAGAGGAAGACGGAAUUCCUAGUGUAGCGGUGAAAUGCGUAGAGAUUAGGAAGAACACCAGUGGCGAAGGCGAUUUUCUGGACUGUAACUGACGCUGAGGCUCGAAAGCGUGGGGAGCAAACAGGAUUAGAUACCCCAGUAGUC